AAAAAUUAAUUUAAAAUUAAAUUCAAUAUAUUUUAAUAAAACUCCAAAAUAAUUAAAUAUUUUGUAAAACUGUUUUUUAACAGUAUUUAAAAUAAUUUUUUUGCUAAAAAAACAAUUUUAACCUAUCAAUGUUAACCCAAAAGGAGCCUAAUUCCACUUGUAGUAUUAUGAAAUCCUAGAGGAAAUCCACAUUGUCAUUAGAGUUAACGAGGUGAUUAACACAUGAGGACAGAAACCAAUUAACAUCAUCCCAAAACUGCCGACUGCAGAAUAGCCAAGCAUUGGAGAAGAAGAGAACAAGAGGCCAUCACUUUAACACUGGACCAACGGUGAAUGUGAAUAUGAUUUUAGAUGAUUUGAUUUCAGUAUCAUUAAACUAAAGCGUAUCGACAUAAUGAUAGAAUGUGACAAUGAUUCAUCAUAUAGAACAGAAUUGAAAAUUGAUCAGCCAAAGAAUUAUGAGUUGGUGAUGAGUAGAAAAGGCAUGCAUUCAUCAUUAUUUGAAUGCCUUUCAAGAAAUGGUCCAGUAAAUGGAGAGA
rnacentral:misc_RNA from 1 species